CGGGGGUGGGAACAGCUUCUCGCGAGAGAAGGCGCGAGGCGGCGCGCGGGGCGGCCGUGAGGGGAGGAGGGGGCGAGGCCUGCCCGUUCCCUUUCCCUGCCCCUUCCCUUUCCCUGCCCCUUCCCGCCUGCCGCAGCCCGGCCGCGGGGCAGCGCCGCUGAGCCGUCUUACGGAGGCCGUGUACGCUUCCCUGUGGGGCGGUGCCGUGUGGGCACCUGCGGGUCCCUCUACCAGAGCAGAGCUUUGUAUUCCUGGGGGACAACACUGGCGCCCCCCACACACACACAGCCGGGAGUGGCGAGUUUUGGGGCAUCGGUGCCGCAGCGAGUGACCCGGUUUGUGAGGCGAGGCCUCGCACGGAGAUGGACGGGCUGAGUGGUUGUUGAAGAAAUCCAUUCCUCGCAUUUCACCCCGUUUCAUCAGCAUCCCCACGCCAGCCCUGGCUGUGCGUGAGUUCACGCAGGGAUAACAUAACCAGGGGGAGAAAAGCUUUCUGAAAACACCACAGCUGCUGAUAAUGGAAGCUACUCUGGAGUGUUAAGAGAAGAAAGUCACAAAAGAUGGGGUCCACCUGGUUUCCUUGUGAUUCAGACUGAAGAAAGACUGAAGACUAUCCCCUCAAAAAAGCAGUGCAAAUUUAAGGCCCGGAGCAGUGCCUGGUUUGUCUGCAGUUCCACAGCCAGCAGAGGUAAGCAGCCAAGAGCAACCACCCCACAGCUGAGGGGAGCAAAAGACAUUGCAGCCAAGCCUGGCAAGUGCAGCUGCUGCUGGAGUAGCCGGGUGAUCGGUGUCUUCCAGGGAAAAACGCGGCUCCAGCUCACCUCUGCGCAGUGCUGCUGAUGGGAGGGCUUUGUGCUGGCAGAAAUACACUGUGUUUCAAAGUGUGUCAGAGCUGGAGUCCCACAUGCAGCCCCAAAUGGAGCUCUGGACAGUAUUUUGUUACAGUUCUUUACUGUUACCCGUGGAAUAGGGGUUAUAAUGUAUCUAGCAGUGCUGAGUGUUUACCAGCGUGAAUGGAAGGGGAAAGAGGUGCCGUUUAAUUCCAGCCCAUGAAGUUCCAGCAGCAGUAAGUCGUGCACUAAGACUACCCCAAAAGCACAUCAACACACUGUCUGUUCUAGGCUGCACUUAGAUCCCUCUGUGCACCCAGCUUUGAAAGCCUCCUCAGGAACAGAGCAGAUCUGGGUACUCCUGCUCCUUCUCAAGGCAAGGGAAGGUGGCCAGAAAUACACAAACUUCAUUGCUUCAGCCUUACCCAAGUCCAUGCCUUGCUAUUUAAGAACGGUGUGUUAAGGAUAAAGGGAAUAGAAUUUGUCAAAGCACAUGUCCUGAGUUAAGGGAAAGCCCAAGAUCUGGGUGAGAUUGUGUGAUAAUCAGUAAAGAAACUUCAUUUAAGAUCAGCAUCAGCUCCACUUCUGCCUGAUUAACGGCUGGGGGAGUUCUAUUUUCCAUUGGCAAAAUUCAGUGAGUAAUAAGCAAGAAUAACCGUUAAUUCUUAUCUGCUUCAUCUGGGAACUGGCUGAUUCUGUUCCAGCUAACGCCAAGCUCCUUCCAGCUGCUGGGAACAGGCUGCUCGUGGCAGGGUGGUUUGUGUGCCUCAAGCUUUCAGUGUUUCAGGACCUUCAGAGGGAAGUUAACCCAUGCAGUCUCAGGAGCCAAAUGUGCAAGGGAGCUAGGUAAAAGUCCUUAGCAA